rnacentral:rRNA from 1 species
CCCUUAGAGUUUGAUCCUGGCUCAGAAUCAACGCUGGCGGCGUGCCUAACACAUGCAAGUCGAACGCGAAAGUGGAGCAAUCCAUGAGUAGAGUGGCAAACGGGUGAGUAACACGUGGGUGACCUGCCUUCGAGCGGGGGAUAACGUCCCGAAAGGGACGCUAAUACCGCAUGACAUCCUGCCUUUUAACAGGCGGAGAUCAAAGCCGGGGAUCGCAAGACCUGGCACUUGAAGAGGGGCCCGCGCCUGAUUAGCUAGUUGGUGGGGUAAUGGCUCACCAAGGCAACGAUCAGUAUCCGGCCUGAGAGGGCGGACGGACACACUGGGACUGAGACACGGCCCAGACUCCUACGGGAGGCAGCAGUGGGGAAUUGUUCGCAAUGGGCGCAAGCCUGACGACGCAACGCCGCGUGGAGGAUGAAGACCUUCGGGUCGUAAACUCCUUUCGAUCGAGACGAAUGGCCCUUGGGCUAAUCACCAGGGGAAUGACGGUACCGAGAGAAGAAGCCCCGG